GACUUUGUGCAGUGGCAGUAUCAUAGCCAAUGAGGUUUAUCCGAGGCGCGAUUAUUCCUAAUUGAAAAGCGCCACUACAUUAUUCUGACCGUCAUCUUUGUUGUCCUGUCUGGGCAGG
ensembl:snRNA LOC120096863 U4 spliceosomal RNA